UACGUAGGGUCCGAGCGUUGUCCGGAAUUACUGGGCGUAAAGAGCUCGUAGGUGGCUUGUCACGUCGGGUGUGAAAGCUUGGGGCUUAACUCCAGGUCUGCAUUCGAUACGGGCUGGCUAGAGGUAGGUAGGGGAGAACGGAAUUCCUGGUGUAGCGGUGAAAUGCGCAGAUAUCAGGAGGAACACCGGUGGCGAAGGCGGUUCUCUGGGCCUUACCUGACGCUGAGGAGCGAAAGCGUGGGGAGCGAACAGG
rnacentral:rRNA from 1 species